UACGUAGGGUGCGAGCGUUGUCCGGAAUUAUUGGGCGUAAAGGGCUCGUAGGCGGUUUGUCGCGUCGGGAGUGAAAUCCACUGGCUUAACUGGUGGCUUGCUUUCGAUACGGGCAGACUGGAGGUAUGCAGGGGAGAACGAAUUCCUGGUGUAGCGGUGAAAUGCGCAGAUAUCAGGAGGAACACCGGUGGCGAAGGCGGUUCUCUGGGCAUGUCCUGACGUGAGGAGCGAAAGUGUGGGGAGCAAACAGG
rnacentral:rRNA from 1 species